rnacentral:rRNA from 1 species
GGGUUGUGAGGUUAAGCGACUAAGCGUACACGGUGGAUGCCCCGGCAGUCAGAGGCGAUGAAGGACGUGCUAAUCUGCGAUAAGCGUCGGUAAGGUGAUAUGAACCGUUAUAACCGGCGAUUUCCGAAUGGGGAAACCCAGUGUGAUUCGUCACACUAUCAUUAACUGAAUCCAUAGGUUAAUGAGGCGAACCGGGGGAACUGAAACAUCUAAGUACCCCGAGGAAAAGAAAUCAACCGAGAUUCCCCCAGUAGCGGCGAGCGAACGGGGAGCAGCCCAGAGCCUGAAUCAGUGUGUGUGUUAGUGGAAGCGUCUGGAAAGGCGCGCGAUACAGGGUGACAGCCCCGUACACAAAAAUGCACAUACUGUGAGCUCGAUGAGUAGGGCGGGACACGUGGUAUCCUGUCUGAAUAUGGGGGGACCAUCCUCCAAGGCUAAAUACUCCUGACUGACCGAUAGUGAACCAGUACCGUGAGGGAAAGGCGAAAAGAACCCCGGCGAGGGGAGUGAAAAAGAACCUGAAACCGUGUACGUACAAGCAGUGGGAGCACGCUUAGGCGUGUGACUGCGUACCUUUUGUAUAAUGGGUCAGCGACUUAUAUUCUGUAGCAAGGUUAACCGAAUAGGGGAGCCGAAGGGAAACCGAGUCUUAACUGGGCGUUAAGUUGCAGGGUAUAGACCCGAAACCCGGUGAUCUAGCCAUGGGCAGGUUGAAGGUUGGGUAACACUAACUGGAGGACCGAACCGACUAAUGUUGAAAAAUUAGCGGAUGACUUGUGGCUGGGGGUGAAAGGCCAAUCAAACCGGGAGAUAGCUGGUUCUCCCCGAAAGCUAUUUAGGUAGCGCCUCGUGAAUUCAUCUCCGGGGGUAGAGCACUGUUUCGGCAAGGGGGUCAUCCCGACUUACCAACCCGAUGCAAACUGCGAAUACCGGAGAAUGUUAUCACGGGAGACACACGGCGGGUGCUAACGUCCGUCGUGAAGAGGGAAACAACCCAGACCGCCAGCUAAGGUCCCAAAGUCAUGGUUAAGUGGGAAACGAUGUGGGAAGGCCCAGACAGCCGGGAUGUUGGCUUAGAAGCAGCCAUCAUUUAAAGAAAGCGUAAUAGCUCACUGGUCGAGUCGGCCUGCGCGGAAGAUGUAACGGGGCUAAACCAUGCACCGAAGCUGCGGCAGCGACGCUUAUGCGUUGUUGGGUAGGGGAGCGUUCUGUAAGCCUGCGAAGGUGUGCUGUGAGGCAUGCUGGAGGUAUCAGAAGUGCGAAUGCUGACAUAAGUAACGAUAAAGCGGGUGAAAAGCCCGCUCGCCGGAAGACCAAGGGUUCCUGUCCAACGUUAAUCGGGGCAGGGUGAGUCGACCCCUAAGGCGAGGCCGAAAGGCGUAGUCGAUGGGAAACAGGUUAAUAUUCCUGUACUUGGUGUUACUGCGAAGGGGGGACGGAGAAGGCUAUGUUGGCCGGGCGACGGUUGUCCCGGUUUAAGCGUGUAGGCUGGUUUUCCGGGCAAAUCCGGAAAACUAAGGCUGAGGCGUGAUGACGAGGCACUACGGUGCUGAAGCAACAAAUGCCCUGCUUCCGGGAAAAGCCUCUAAGCAUCAGGUAACAUCAAAUCGUACCCCAAACCGACACAGGUGGUCAGGUAGAGAAUACCAAGGCGCUUGAGAGAACUCGGGUGAAGGAACUAGGCAAAAUGGUGCCGUAACUUCGGGAGAAGGCACGCUGAUAUGUAGGUGAAGUCCCUCGCGGAUGGAGCUGAAAUCAGUCGAAGAUACCAGCUGGCUGCAACUGUUUAUUAAAAACACAGCACUGUGCAAACACGAAAGUGGACGUAUACGGUGUGACGCCUGCCCGGUGCCGGAAGGUUAAUUGAUGGGGUCAGCGCAAGCGAAGCUCUUGAUCGAAGCCCCGGUAAACGGCGGUACCGUAACUAUAACGGUCCUAAGGUAGCGAAAUUCCUUGUCGGGUAAGUUCCGACCUGCACGAAUGGCGUAAUGAUGGCGGGCUGUCUCCACCCGAGACUCAGUGAAAUUGAACUCGCUGUGAAGAUGCAGUGUACCCGCGGCAAGACGGAAAGACCCCGUGAACCUUUACUAUAGCUUGACACUGAACAUUGAGCCUUGAUGUGUAGGAUAGGUGGGAGGCUUUGAAGUGUGGACGCCAGUCUGCAUGGAGCCGACCUUGAAAUACCACCCUUUAAUGUUUGAUGUUCUAACGUGGACCCGUGAUCCGGGUUGCGGACAGUGUCUGGUGGGUAGUUUGACUGGGGCGGUCUCCUCCUAAAGAGUAACGGAGGAGCACGAAGGUUGGCUAAUCCUGGUCGGACAUCAGGAGGUUAGUGCAAUGGCAUAAGCCAGCUUGACUGCGAGCGUGACGGCGCGAGCAGGUGCGAAAGCAGGUCAUAGUGAUCCGGUGGUUCUGAAUGGAAGGGCCAUCGCUCAACGGAUAAAAGGUACUCCGGGGAUAACAGGCUGAUACCGCCCAAGAGUUCAUAUCGACGGCGGUGUUUGGCACCUCGAUGUCGGCUCAUCACAUCCUGGGGCUGAAGUAGGUCCCAAGGGUAUGGCUGUUCGCCAUUUAAAGUGGUACGCGAGCUGGGUUUAGAACGUCGUGAGACAGUUCGGUCCCUAUCUGCCGUGGGCGCUGGAGAACUGAGGGGGGCUGCUCCUAGUACGAGAGGACCGGAGUGGACGCAUCACUGGUGUUCGGGUUGUCAUGCCAAUGGCACUGCCCGGUAGCUAAAUGCGGAAGAGAUAAGUGCUGAAAGCAUCUAAGCACGAAACUUGCCCCGAGAUGAGUUCUCCCUGACUCCUUGAGAGUCCUGAAGGAACGUUGAAGACGACGACGUUGAUAGGCCGGGUGUGUAAGCGCAGCGAUGCGUUGAGCUAACCGGUACUAAUGAACCGUGAGGCUUAACCUUACAACGCCGAAGGUGUUU